rnacentral:tRNA from 1 species
CAUUGAAUGGCUGAAAAGAAAGCAAUGGUCUCUUAAACCAGUCUAUAGUAUACGAAUACUUUCAAUGA